rnacentral:rRNA from 1 species
GACUAACGUUGGCGGCGUGCAUAAUACAUGCAAGUCACACGGGCCACGCAAGUGGCUAGUGGCGAACGGGUGAGUAACACGUGGAUGAUCUACCCUUAAGAUCGGGAUAACUAGCCGAAAGGUUAGCUAAUACCGGGUAUGACCACGUCCAGUAUCGUCUGGAUGGGGUAAGAGCUGGGGACCGCAAGGCCUAGCGCUUAAGGAUGAGUCCGCGGCUGAUUAGCUAGUUGGC